CUCUCUGUGGGGUGCCGAAGGGACACCUGUGUGUGGACUCCCAGGGAUGUCUGAGGACACACUCAGCUUUUCACAAGCGGAGAACAGAGGCUUAGAGGCAAGGAGGGAAGUGCUCGCCCACAGCUGCACGAGGACUGGAGCCCAAAUCUAACUGAGAUUGGGAACGGAACGAGAGGCUGUUUUCAGUACCAUGAUGUGUCCCUCUAAACACAGGCAAUGAAUCUGUACACACGUACAUUUUCACUGCCCCCCAAAUUCUCCUCACCUUUCUCCCCAAGAUUCUAAUGUCAGGCCUUUGUUUUGUAUUUUAUUCCCUGAACCCUCGUUCUCCCAGGACUUUGUUGAGCUUAACCCUGGAUCAACGCUGAGGAAGGGUACAGAAAAGAUACUACACUCCCACACCAUUUAUUUCCUGGGAGCCUUGUCCCACAGGCCUUUCCUCUGUCUCCUGCCUCCGGCCAGCUGGCCAGCCGGCCACACCAUUGAUUUUCACAAUUAUUGACUCUGAAAGAACCACCCCCUCCUGAUACGUGUAAGGAAACAGGUGAGCGGAACAACAGGGACUCGUCUCUAACUUGACUCCACUUUGAAACCCAUGUGGCAGUCCAUCUGGUGUCCGGAUCAGACAGAUGUCACAGGAAGCAGAGGUCAGCACGUCCUGGGCCUCGUCACAGGCCUCUCAGCAAAGCGCUAGAUGGUCAGCUGCUAACUGCUGAGAAGCGUGAAAAUGCUAGCCCAGCAGUCUGCUGUAUCCUGUCAUCCCAUCCUGCUGGGGAGGGCAGGGCCAGCUUCCCGGAGGAGAUGCUGUUUAACUGAUCUUAGUUGAUCAUGGAAAGACAAGAUGGUUUGCUCGGUGGGGGUGAAAAGAGGAUGUCAGGGCUGACGGCAAGGGUAAAAGCCUAUAGUAUGUUCUAGGCAAGGCAAGGAAUCCCAUGAGGCCAGUAGUUCACUGAACUUUGACAGGAAGGAGCCAGAGAUGGGUCUAGAAAGGUGUUUUAGGCCCACCAUGACGGUCUUUUAGUAUUUCACCUUAAAAGCGGUGGGAGGUCAACCUGCUUAAGGUAGGAAGCAACGGAUGUGGGAUCAAGGAUGUACAAGAUGCAGGAAGGAAGUGAGUGAUAAACCCCCAGAUCUGGUGGGAGACUGUAGGAAUCUCCUAGGCAAGUGGGGUGCAGAGUCCAAGUGAACACACGGCUAGACAGUUAAGAACCCAACAAAGGACCAGUUUUAUAAUGAAACUGCACACUCACAACAUGCCUGGUCCACCGUGAAAGAGGAAGAGCAGGAGAUGAACUAUCCCCAUGUUGCUGGUUUGGGCAGCCUUCAGCUAACUCUUGUCGAAAGAGAGAAGCCAGCUGGGAGCAAGGGAUAGCCAACUCCAAUUCCAUCACCUUGUUAGAGGUCCCAUGGGACAGCUGGGUGGAAGGUCAAGCCGGUAGCUAGCGGAACGAGGCAGAGUUCAGGAAGGAAUUAGGACUGAGUGGCUCAGAAUUUACCUGCUCAAGAGCUGGAGUCAAAGAGAUCUGUGUUCAAACCCAGUACUGUGUGUUACUGUGACCCCGAACAAGUCCCUCAGUUUCUUCUCAUCUCAUCUAUGAUACAGGAGAAGGGAGGAGUAAUAGGAAGACCCAGACGGUCUUUGGAGAACAUUUGUCACAUGGAAUUUCAAUUACAUCCUGCUGGGUGUGGUGCCCACCACUGACCAGACCGGAAGCUUCCACUGGCUACAGGUCACAUCACUGCAGAGAACCCCCCAAGGACUCAAGGAAGCAUUUGCUCCAGGCACUGGUUAGCUGACAGGGUAUUAUAAUCCACCCCCUUCCCGGAUGAACUAGAUCUCCAAUAAGACUCUCUGUCAGUGCUGAGGCCAUUUCCGAAGUCCCACUCAGGACUCAUGUUUCCGGUGAUCAAAGGAGCCAAGCCUAGCUCUCCACCUGGAAGACCAAUGUAAGUACUACCAGGCCUACUCUAGGCCUGGUUAAGGGUCUUCUGUUCUGUGCUUCUGUUAAGCCAGUAGGCUGGCAAGGUGAGGCUAGAGGUGGGAGGGUCCACACCAAGAA